rnacentral:rRNA from 1 species
GAUGAACGCUGGCGGCGUGCCUAAUACAUGCAAGUCGAACGAGUUCUGGUUGAUGAUGGCGGUGCUUGCACCAAUAGAUUUAACAUUUGAACGAGUGGCGGACGGGUGAGUAACACGUGGGUAACCUGCCCUAAAGUGGGGGAUAACAUUUGGAAACAGAUGCUAAUACCGCAUAAAUCUUGGAACCUCAUGGUUCCAAGCUGAAAGAUGGCGUAAGCUAUCGCUUUUGGAUGGACCCGCGGCGUAUUAGCUAGUUGGUGAGGUAAAGGCUCACCAAGGCGAUGAUACGUAGCCGACCUGAGAGGGUGAUCGGCCACAUUGGGACUGAGACACGGCCCAAACUCCUACGGGAGGCAGCAGUAGGGAAUCUUCCACAAUGGACGAAAGUCUGAUGGAGCAACGCCGCGUGAGUGAAGAAGGUUUUCGGAUCGUAAAACUCUGUUGUUGGAGAAGAACGUACGUGAGAGUAACUGUUCACGUAGUGACGGUAUCCAACCAGAAAGCCACGGCUAACUACGUGCCAGCCGCCGCC